rnacentral:rRNA from 1 species
UACGUAGGGGGCAAGCGUUGUCCGGAUUUACUGGGCGUAAAGAGCGUGUAGGCGGCCAGGUAGGUCUGCUGUGAAAACUCGAGGCUCAACCUCGAGACGUCGGCGGAAACCAUCUGGCUAGAGUCCGGAAGAGGAGAGUGGAAUUCCCGGUGUAGCGGUGAAAUGCGCAGAUAUCGGGAAGAACACCCGUGGCGAAGGCGGUUCUCUGGGACGGUACUGACGCUGAGACGCGAAAGCGUGGGGAGCGAACAGG